rnacentral:tRNA from 1 species
GGUCCCGUAGCUCAGGUGGAUAGAGCAACAGAUUUCUAAUCUGUGGGUCGGGCGUUCGAGUCGCUCCGGGAUCG